UCCGAGUUGACCCCGGCAGUCUCCUAUGAGUCCCCACCAUUACGUGCUGGCAACAUAGGACGAGGGUUGCGCUCGUUGCGGGACUUAACCCAACAUCUCACGACACGAGCUGACGACAACCAUGCACCACCUGUCUCUGGGCUCCUUGCGGCACCCCCAAAUCUCUUCGGGGUUCCCAGGAUGUCAAGACCAGGUAAGGUUCUUCACGUUGCAUCGAAUUAAACCACAUCAUCCACCGCUUGUGCGGGUCCCCGUCAAUUCCUUUGAGUUUCAGCCUUGCGGCCGUACUCCCCAGGCGGGGCACUUAAUGCGUUAGCGCCGGCACCCAGGGGGUCGCUCCCCCAGGCACCUAGUGCCCAUCGUUUACGGCGUGGACUAC
rnacentral:misc_RNA from 1 species